rnacentral:rRNA from 1 species
UCUCAAAGACUAAGCCAUGCAUGUCUCAGUACAUACUGGUAAACAGUGAAACCGCGAAUGGCUCAUUAAACGAGUUAAAGUUUCCUGGAUAAUAAAAUUUUACAUGGAUAACUCUGGUAAUUCUAGAGCUAAUACAUGCAUUCAAGCUUUGUUCACUUGUGCUUACCCAAGUGCUUGUGUUCAAAGUGCAUUUAUUAGACCAAGACCAAUGGUCCUUUCGGGGGCCUUCGGUGUGGUGAUUCUGAAUAACUAAGCUAACCGCAUAGCCUAGUGCUGGCGGUACAUCCUUCAAGCGUCUCCCUUAUCAACUUUCGAUGGUAGGCUAUGCGCUUACCAUGGUUGUAACGGGUGACGGGGAAUCAGGGUUCGGUUCCGGAGAGGGAGCCUGAGAAACGGCUACCACAUCCAAGGAAGGCAGCAGGCACGCAAAUUACCCAAUCCCAGCUCGGGGAGGUAGUGACGAAAAAUAACAAUACGGAACUCAAUUGAGGCUCCGUAAUUGGAAUGAGUACAAUAUAAAUCCUUGAACGAGGAUCAAUUGGAGGGCAAGUCUGGUGCCAGCAGCCGCGGUAAUUCCAGCUCCAAUAGCGUAUAUUAAAAUUGUUGCGUUUAAAAAGCUCGUAGCUUUAUUUAAGUCCAUGUUCGUUGGUUCACCUUACGGUGUUUCCUUCUGUUCAGUGGACAUUUGUCCAAUUUGUUUGGUGAUGCUCUUAACCGAGUGUUGCCCGGCAAUUGGCAGUUUUACUUUGAAUAAAUUAGAGUGCUCAAAGCAAGUAUUUGAACUUGAAUAAUCUUGCAUGGAAUGAUGGAAUAUGACCUAGGUUGUAUUCUGUUGGUCUAUACUACCUCAGGUAAUGAUUAAAAGGGACUGACGGUGGUAUUCGUAUUGCGACGCUAGAGGUGAAAUUCUUGGACCGUCGCAAGACGAACAACAGCGAAAGCAUUUGCCAAGAAUGUUUUCAUUAGUCAAGAACGAAAGUUAGGGGUUCGAAGGCGAUCAGAUACCGCCCUAGUCUUAACCAUAAACGAUGCCAACUAGCGAUUAGGGUGUAUUCAAUAAAUGAUACCCCUAGAAGCUUCCGGGAAACCAAAGUCUUUGGGUUCCGGGGGAAGUAUGGUUGCAAAGCUGAAACUUAAAGGAAUUGACGGAAGGGCACCACCAGGAGUGGAGCCUGCGGUUUAAUUUGACUCAACACGGGAAAACUCACCCGGCCCGGACAUUGGGAGGAUUGACAGAUUGAGAGCUCUUUCUUGAUUCAGUGGAUGGUGGUGCAUGGCCGUUCUUAGUUGGUGGAGUGAUUUGUCUGGUUAAUUCCGAUAACGAACGAGACUCUACUCUACUAAAUAGACCCUUGACUCAAUCUUUUGCGUUGAGGGUUCUUCUUAGAGAGACAGGCGGCGUUUCAGCCGCACGAGAGAGAGCAAUAACAGGUCUGUGAUGCCCUUAGAUGUUCGGGGCCACACGCGCGCUACACUGAAGAGUGCAGCGAGUGUAUUAAUCCCUCUCUGACAGGAGCGGGUAACCAGGUUAACCCUCUUCGUGUCAGGGAUUGGGCAUUGUAAUUAUUGCCCAUGAACGAGGAAUUCCCAGUAAGCGUGAGUCAUUAACUCACGUCGAUUACGUCCCUGCCCUUUGUACACACCGCCCGUCGCUACUACCGAUUGAAUGAUUUAGUGAGGUCUUCGGACUGGCCUGCUGCACUGCUUAACUGUGGUGAAGCUGGGUUGGAAAGAUGACCAAACUUGAUCAUUUAGAGGAAGUAAAAGUCGUAA